rnacentral:rRNA from 1 species
UACGGAGGGGGCUAGCGUUGUUCGGAAUUACUGGGCGUAAAGCGCGCGUAGGCGGACCUGCAAGUCGGGGGUGAAAGCCCGAGGCUCAACCUCGGAACUGCCUUCGAUACUGCGGGUCUCGAGUCCGGGAGAGGUGAGUGGAAUUCCUAGUGUAGCGGUGAAAUGCGUAGAUAUUGGGAGGAACACCAGUGGCGAAGGCGGCUCACUGGACCGGUACUGACGCUGAGACGCGAAAGCCAGGGGAGCAAACGGG